UAGCGCCGCCCUCCUUGGGCGUUUCCUCCCUAGACUCGGGCCGCAUUACGCGGCCCCUUUUUUUAUGUGCC
rnacentral:sRNA from 2 species